AUUGAACGCUGGCGGCAUGCCUUACACAUGCAAGUCGAACGGCAGCAUGGAAGAGCUUGCUCUUCUGAUGGCGAGUGGCGAACGGGUGAGUAAAGCAUCGGAACGUACCGGGUAGUGGGGGAUAACGUAGCGAAAGUUACGCUAAUACCGCAUACGCACUGAGGUGGAAAGCAGGGGAUCGCAAGACCUUGCCCAAUACGAUCGGCCGAUGUCAGAUUAGCCAGUUGGUAGGGUAAAGGGAGACCAAGGCGACGAUCUGUAGCGGGUCUGAGAGGAUGAUCCGCCACACUGGGACUGAGACACGGCCCAGACUCCUACGGGAGGCAGCAGUGGGGAAUUUUGGACAAUGGGCGAAAGCCUGAUCCAGCCAUGCCGCGUGAGUGAAGAAGGCCUUCGGGUUGUAAAGCUCUUUCGGCUGGGAAGAAAUCGCACAGGCUAAUACUCUGUGUGGAUGACGGUACCAGCACAAGAAGCACCGGCUAACUACGUGCCAGCAGCCGCCGUAA
rnacentral:rRNA from 1 species